UGGCGGAUAGCUCAGCUGGGAGAGCGCGGCCCCUACAAGGCCGAGGUCGGAGGUUCGAUCCCUCCUCCGCCUACCA
rnacentral:tRNA from 1 species